UACGUAGGGAGCAAGCGUUGUCCGGAAUCAUUGGGCGUAAAGCGCGCGUAGGUGGUCCCGUAAGUCCGCUGUGAAAGUCAAAGGCUCAACCUUUGAAAGCCGGUGGAUACUGUGGGACUAGAGUACGGAAGAGGCGAGUGGAAUUCCUGGUGUAGCGGUGGAAUGCGUAGAUAUCGAGAGGAACACCUGCGGCGAAGGCGGGUUGCUGGGCUGAUACUGACGCUGAGGCGCGAAAGCCAGGGGAGCGAACGGG
rnacentral:rRNA from 1 species